rnacentral:rRNA from 1 species
CCUGAGAAACGGCUACCACAUCCAAGGAAGGCAGCAGGCGCGCAAAUUACCCACUCCCGGCACGGGGAGGUAGUGACGAAAAAUAACGAUACGGGACUCAUCCGAGGCCCCGUAAUCGGAAUGAGUACACUUUAAAUCCUUUAACGAGGAUCAAUUGGAGGGCAAGUCUGGUGCCAGCAGCCGCGGUAAUCCAGCUCCUAUAGCGUAUAUUAAAGUUGUUGCGGUUAAAAAGCUCGUAGUUGAAUCUGUGUCUCGCGCUGUCGGUUCACCGUCCGCAGUGUUAAACUGGAACGUUCGCGAGACGUCCUGGCGGUGGCCACGCGGGGCGUUUCCGUAAGGUUGCGUCUCGCGUCCCGACUUUAAUCCUACUUCGGUGCUCUUUACCGAGUGUCGAGUGGGCCGGCACGUUUACUUUGAACAAAUUAGAGUGCUCCAAGCAGGCUAAAACUUCGCCUGAAUACUGUGUGCAUGGAAUAAUGGAACAGGACCUCGGUUCUAUUUUGUUGGUUUUAGGAACCCCGAGGUAAUGAUUAAUAGGAACAGAUGGGGGCAUUCGUAUUGCGACGUUAGAGGUGAAAUUCUUGGACCGUCGCAAGACGGACUAAAGCGAAAGCAUUUGCCAAAAAUGUUUUCAUUAAUCAAGAACGAAAGUCAGAGGUUCGAAGGCGAUCAGAUACCGCCCUAGUUCUGACCAUAAACGAUGCCAGCUAGCGAUCCGCCGACGUUCCUCCGAUGACUCGGCGGGCAGCUUCCGGGAAACCAAAGCUUUUGGGUUCCGGGGGAAGUAUGGUUGCAAAGCUGAAACUUAAAGGAAUUGACGGAAGGGCACCACCAGGAGUGGAGCCUGCGGUUUAAUUUGACUCAACACGGGAAACCUCACCAGGCCCGGACACCGGAAGGAUUGACAGAUUGAGAGCUCUUUCUUGAUUCGGUGGGUGGUGGUGCAUGGCCGUUCUUAGUUGGUGGAGCGAUUUGUCUGGUUAAUUCCGAUAACGAACGAGACUC